rnacentral:rRNA from 1 species
AGUGAACGCUGGCGGUAGGCCUAACACAUGCCAGUCGAACGGCAGCACAGUAAGAGCUUGCUCUUACGGGUGGCGAGUGGCGGACGGAUGAGGAAUACAUCGGAAUCUACUUUUUCGUGGGGGAUAACGUAGGGAAACUUACGCUAAUACCGCAUACGACCUACGGGUGAAAGCAGGGGAUCUUCGGACCUUGCGCGAUUGAAUGAGCCGAUGUCGGAUUAGCUAGUUGGCGGGGUAAGGGCCCACCAAGGCGACGAUCCGUAGCUGGUCUGAGAGGAUGAUCAGCCACACUGGAACUGAGACACGGUCCAGACUCCUACGGGAGGCAGCAGUGGGGAAUAUUGGACAAUGGGCGCAAGCCUGAUCCAGCCAUACCGCGUGGGUGAAGAAGGCCUUCGGGUUGUAAAGCCCUUUUGUUGGGAAAGAAAAGCAGCAGGUUAAUACCCCGCUGUUCUGACGGUACCCAAAGAAUAAGCACCGGCUAACUUCGUG